ensembl:lncRNA
GGGCAAAAAGAGAAGCUCAGAGCACUUCGGACCCUGGUUCCGUGCCCCAGGGACCCCCUGAGCCAGCCCUCUGUUAGGAGCACAGCCGAACUCCAUCAUCUCCUGCUUCUUCAUUUGGGCUUCCCAAGAAGGAAGGGCACCAGCCCAGGGUUUGGCAGCCCCCGGAGAGGGCAUCCUGAGUGGCCGGGGGAGCCCCAGGCUCUUCCACAUACCAGGGAGACGGGCAACCUGGGGGAGAAGGUGCAGGAUGGGGGCUGGAGGCCCUGCGGGCAGGAGGAAGAUGGGCUGCUGACUCUGACCAGCACCAGCUCUGGGGGCCCUGCGGAGGCUGUGGACACCAACGAUGAGGAGGCUUCUGCCUCUGCGACCUGCUCCACCUGCCCCAUCCUGGACCUGCCCCCUCCCUGGCCCACGGGCUGCGGGGCUGAGGACGUCCAGGCCUUCUGCUUCAUCUGCCUUCACAAGGAAGAAGAGACUCUGGAGACCCUUCCCCUUCAGAGUUGAGUACUUAGAAAGAUUCCUGUUGGGUGCGAUGUCUUUAAGAAGUGGGCCUCUCAGGUAGGCUUUCAGAAUCUGCUCCCUUUGACGGGUCAAUUGGACUGAACUAACUGAGAGUUCUCAGUUUUAAGGACUGGCUCUUUCCUGGGUUCAUAGCUAGUUCUCUUUUUGACUAUUAGAGAUCUUACCCCUUGAGGCUGCUUCCAGUAUUCAGUGACUGCCUCUCUAUAUGGAGUGUAUCAUUACUAAACAAACUAUUCCUCUAACUCUCUUGAACUGACUCUCCAACUGUUGAAUGAGUAGUUCUGUUGCUAGACUUGAAGGUCCCAAGCCUGGGCGGGUGGAUGGGAGAGAACAGAAAGAGAGUCCCAUCAUCUUCCUUUCCAAGAGUGAUUUCCAUCUGAGAGACAGUGUCUCCCACUCUUGAAUUUCGAAACUAGUAUGAAAAGAGCCCAGGAGCGUGGUCGAUUUUUGCCAUCUUUGACAAAAUCCUGAGUUAAAUCUACUCCCUCACUUACACUAUGCUUCCACCAAGCCAAAAUGGGCUAUUCUCCCUGCUCCUUCUAAUGAUAUUAACUUGCCUUCCAAAUUUCACAUUCUAUUUUGUUUCUACUCCUCUGAUGCAUUUAUCAUGAAAUAUUGUAUAUAUUAGAGUGAUGUGUUCAUGUCUUUCUCUUCCUAAUUCCUUCCCAACCCCAGACUUUAAAUUCUAAGGAGUUAUCUUAACUAAAUUUUGUGUCUCUCCCAGUGCUUUGUACACAGUAUUGAUUAAUAAAUAUUUAUUGUAUUAUCUUAUAUUUUUAUUCUGGGAACAAAUUAAAUAAUGUAUGUAAGGUUUUAUAACAGUAAAGUACUACAUAUCUUAACUAAAUUUUAUUUCUCUCCAGUGCUUUGUAUACAGUAUUUAUUAAUAAAUAUUUAUUAUACUAUCUUAUAUUUUUAUUCUGGGGAACAAAUUAAAUAAUAUAUGUAAGGUUUUAUAACAGCAAAGUGUUACAUAAAUGUAUUUAAUAAGUGCUCAAUCUGAACAUGAUCAAGGGCUUCACUCUUUAUAUUAAUUUUGGAACCAUGAUCUAGCAGACUUAGGAUAUUCCCUAUCCUUUCCCCUACCCCUUGUACCCAUAUAAUUGGGAGGAAGGCAACAAUAGAUGCAGUUAUCAUGUAUUAAUUUUAUGUAUAAUAAUGUUAAGGUGAAGGGAAGAAAGUUGAGAUAAUUAUUCAAAAAACAUCUCUUAUGGACCUGAUAUUGCUAGGCACUUUGCAUUGAAAUGCAAUGAGAAAAAGCAAAUAAUUUCCAUUUUAAUCUGGGAGGCAAUAUGCACACACACAU